rnacentral:rRNA from 1 species
CCUACGGGUGGCAGCAGUGGGGAAUAUUGCACAAUGGGGGAAACCCUGAUGCAGCGACGCCGCGUGAGUGAAGAAGUAUUUCGGUACGUAAAGCUCUAUCAGCAGGGAAGAAAAUGACGGUACCUGACUAAGAAGCCCCGGCUAACUACGUGCCAGCAGCCUCGGUAAUACGUAGGGGGCAAGCGUUAUCCGGAUUUACUGGGUGUAAAGGGAGCGUAGACGGCAGCGAAAGUCUGGAGUGAAAUCCCAUGGCUUAACCAUGGAACUGCUUUGGAAACUGUGCAGCUAGAGUGCAGGAGAGGUAAGCGGAAUUCCGAGUGUAGCGGUGAAAGGCGUAGAUAUUAGGAGGAACACCAGUGGCGAGGGCGGCUUACUGGACUGUAACUGACGUUGAGGAUCGAAAGCAUGGGGAGCAAACAGAAUUAGAUACCCGAGUAGUC